UCCUACGGGAGGCAGCAGUGGGGAAUCUUAGACAAUGGGGGCAACCCUGAUCUAGCCAUGCCGCGUGAGUGAUGAAGGCCUUAGGGUCGUAAAGCUCUUUCGCCUGUGAUGAUAAUGACAGUAGCAGGUAAAGAAACCCCGGCUAACUCCGUGCCAGCAGCCGCGGUAAUACGGAGGGGGUUAGCGUUGUUCGGAAUUACUGGGCGUAAAGCGCGCGUAGGCGGAUUAGAAAGUUGGGGGUGAAAUCCCGGGGCUCAACCCCGGAACUGCCUCCAAAACUGCUAGUCUAGAGUUCGAGAGAGGUGAGUGGAAUUCCGAGUGUAGAGGUGAAAUUCGUAGAUAUUCGGAGGAACACCAGUGGCGAAGGCGGCUCACUGGCUCGAUACUGACGCUGAGGUGCGAAAGUGUGGGGAGCAAACAGGAUUAGAUACCCUGGUAGUCCACACCGUAAACGAUGAAUGCCAGUCGUCGGAUAGUAUACUAUUCGGUGACACACCUAACGGAUUAAGCAUUCCGCCUGGGGAGUACGGUCGCAAGAUUAAAACUCAAAGGAAUUGACGGA
rnacentral:rRNA from 1 species